GAUAGCUUAGUUGGUUAGAGCAUGGUGCUGAUAACACCAGGGUUGCAGGUUAGAUCCCCAUAUGGGACA